UACGUAGGGUGCAAGCGUUGUCCGGAAUUAUUGGGCGUAAAGAGCUCGUAGGCGGUUUGUCGCGUCGUUCGUGAAAAACUUGGGGCUUAACUCCAAGCGUGCGGGCGAUACGGGCAGACUUGAGUACUACAGGGGAGACUGGAAUUCCUGGUGUAGCGGUGAAAUGCGCAGAUAUCAGGAGGAACACCGGUGGCGAAGGCGGGUCUCUGGGUAGUAACUGACGCUGAGGAACGAAAGCGUGGGUAGCGAACAGG
rnacentral:rRNA from 1 species